AAGAUUAAGCCAUGCAAGUCUAAGUAUAAGCGUUAUACAGUGAAACUGCGAAUGGCUCAUUAAAUCAGUUAUAGUUUAUUUGAAGAUAAUACCAUUAGGAUAACCGUGGUAAUUCUAGAGCUAAUACUUGCUUUCUACGCUUUAUUAGAUAUGAAUCACAAUAACUUCAGAUCGAUUGACGCUUCAUUCAAAUUUCUGCCCUAUCAGCUAGAUGGCACGGUAUUGG
rnacentral:rRNA from 1 species